UACGUAGGGGGCAAGCGUUGUCCGGAAUCAUUGGGCGUAAAGCGCGUGUAGGCGGCUCGGUAAGUCUGCUCUGAAAGCCCGGGGCUCAACCCUGGGAGGCGGGUGGAUACUGCUGAGCUCGAGUCCGGAAGAGGCGAGUGGAAUUCCUGGUGUAGCGGUGGAAUGCGCAGAUAUCAGGAGGAACACCGAUGGCGAAGGCAGUUCUCUGGGCCGUAACUGACGCUGAGGAGCGAAAGCGUGGGGAGCGAACAGG
rnacentral:rRNA from 1 species